rnacentral:rRNA from 1 species
GACGAACGCUGGCGGCGUGCUUAACACAUGCAAGUCGAACGGAAAGGCCUCUUUCGGGGGGUACUCGAGUGGCGAACGGGUGAGUAACACGUGAGUAACCUGCCCUUGACUUUGGGAUAACUUCAGGAAACUGGGGCUAAUACCGGAUAGGAGCUCCUGCUGCAUGGUGGGGGUUGGAAAGUUUCGGCGGUUGGGGAUGGACUCGCGGCUUAUCAGCUUGUUGGUGGGGUAGUGGCUUACCAAGGCUUUGACGGGUAGCCGGCCUGAGAGGGUGACCGGCUACAUUGGGACUGAGAUACGGCCCAGACUCCUACGGGAGGCAGCAGUGGGGAAUAUUGCACAAUGGGUGGAAGCCUGAUGCAGCAACGCCGUGUGCGGGAUGACGGCCUUCGGGUUGUAAACCGAUUUCGCUCAUGACGAAGCUUUGUGUGACGGUAGUGGGUAAAGAAGCACCGGCUAACUACGUG